rnacentral:misc_RNA from 1 species
UUGAAGGGAACAUAGAAUGGAAGCACACGCGGAAAGCUCCACAAAGGGUGAGAUACAGCGCUGACAAUGUCCGUCCAUGAGGAGGAGAUCGACAUGAUCUUGAGCAUGUUUAGCGAUGAGUGCAAGCGCUACGAGGGUACGCCAGACUCGGUCAUUGUACAUUUGCCGUUCCACUUUGAGCUGCAGGUGACGCUCCCGCCACAUGGGUACCCGGAUGCAAGCUACCCGCAACUCUACCUUCUCUCUAGCCCGAACGCGCAGCUGACCAGCGCUUUCUCUCAGGAAGUAAACCGACGCAUGCGCGAUGAGCUCCCACUGGGUAUUCCAAUGCUGGCGCUUCUCAUUCCCUUGGCCCAGAGCGUGGCGGAGGAGCUGAAGGACGUGAAGGAAAAGGCGGAGAAAGCGCGCCAGGACGAGGCGGUGGAAGAGAUGAGUGAACUCCAGCAGAAGGAGGAGCACCGGCGAGAGACGGGUAUCGCUAUCUGGUCAGGCGAGGCGAUUGUGGACCGUCGCUCACGUUUCGUGGCGCACAUGGCACGUGUUCACUCGAUGGAUGAGGUGCGGGAGGUAGUUGGGCAUCUACGCUCCGUCAAGAGUAUUGCUUGCGCAGCGCACCCGGCAAUCUACGCGUACCGAUUCACUGAUACGAAUGGCGUCCUGCAGAAAGACAGUGAUGACGACGGAGAGAGUGGCGCAUCCAUCAAAAUGAUGUUUCUUCUAGACCAUCUGCAGGUCGACGGCUACGUCGUGGUCGUGACGCGGUGGUGGGGAGGCAUCCUUCUCGGGCCAGACCGAUUCAAACACAUCAUGGAGGUGACAAAGAACCUCCUCCUGACAAUUCCGGAGCGAGAGAAAGAGAUGGCGGCAUCGGCUAAGCGGAAACCUCUCAGGUGACGUGCAAGUCUCUGCCAUGAGGACGAUGACGGAGACGAGGGAGGAGGUUCCCGACGCAAAUUGGGACGGCGGAGCCGUCAGAGCCCGCAGGCGCCGAAAACACUCUCCGGUACUUGGAUGAGUUUUAUAUGCGUUCGCCUCUCUCGUUCUUAAGGUAUUCCCCUCCACACACACUUCUCCCGCGCGCAUCACCUGGCUAACGCCGCAGACACGUACGCAUUCAUGUUUGCCGCUCUUGGGGUUUGCAAGGGAAAAGCCAUAUAUAUAUAUAUAUAUAUAUAUAUUGUUGCUGAGGCCCUGCUCUCGCUGCUUCUCAUUCUUAACGUCAGCAUCCCAUCAUGUGUAAGAAGAGAGGGACGCCUUUUGUUUCACGCCUUCCUGCACACAUCCAAUGUGCCGUCAUGGUCACUGUCUCAUUAAGCGAAGACUUGAUGUUGCUGAGUACUGUGGCGUUGUCGUUCGUGCUCUAUAGUCGUGGGGACGCGGCGACUUGAUUACUCCUCUCGCUUGCUGUCAUGGCUUUCCCCGGCCCAUGCGACUGCACGUCUGAGCUUCCACACACACACACACAUCUGUCUCGCCUUUCGUACUCGUCUUCUUUAUGGGAAAGAUCG